AUUGAACGCUGGCGGCAUGCCUUACACAUGCAAGUCGAACGGUAACAGGUCUUCGGAUGCUGACGAGUGGCGAACGGGUGAGUAAUACAUCGGAACGUGCCUAGUAGUGGGGGAUAACUACUCGAAAGAGUGGCUAAUACCGCAUGAGAUCUACGGAUGAAAGCAGGGGAUCGCAAGACCUUGUGCUACUAGAGCGGCCGAUGGCAGGUUAGGUAGUUGGUGGGAUAAAAGCUUACCAAGCCGACGAUCUGUAGCUGGUCUGAGAGGACGAUCAGCCACACUGGGACUGAGACACGGCCCAGACACCUACGGGAGGCAGCAGUGGGGAAUUUUGGACAAUGGGCGCAAGCCUGAUCCAGCAAUGCCGCGUGCAGGAUGAAGGCCUUCGGGUUGUAAACUGCUUUUGUACGGAACGAAAAGCCCUGGGUUAAUACCCUGGGGUCAUGACGGUACCGUAAGAAUAAGCACCGGCUAACUACGUGCCAGCCGCCGCUGUAAAAC
rnacentral:rRNA from 1 species